rnacentral:rRNA from 1 species
UACGUAGGGUGCGAGCGUUACUCGGAAUUACUGGGCGUAAAGCGCGCGUAGGCGGCUUUGCAAGUCGGGUGUGAAAUCCCCAGGCUUAACCUGGGAACUGCAUUCGAGACUGCAUUGCUAGAGUAUGGGAGAGGGAAGUGGAAUUUCCGGUGUAGCGGUGAAAUGCGUAGAUAUCGGAAGGAACAUCAGUGGCGAAAGCGACUUCCUGGACCAAUACUGACGCUCAUGUGCGAAAGCGUGGGGAGCAAACAGG